AAUUAGGGGUCGUUUAAAAAUUGGUCCCUGUAUUCGCUAAUCCUUGCAAACUAGCCUUGCAAUCAUUAAUCAUUUAAAAUUUAGUCCUUUGACCAACUUAAUCACUGCCACGUCACUAAUUUGAUGACGUGGCAAUCACUGCCAAACAUGAAAUUCCAAUUUUGCCCUUAAGAAGAGGACAAAAUAUUGAAGAAAGAAUUGG
rnacentral:lncRNA from 1 species